AUACGGAGGAUCCGAGCGUUAUCCGGAUUUAUUGGGUUUAAAGGGUGCGCAGGCGGGAGAUUAAGUCGGCGGUGAAAUUUUGCAGCUCAACUGUAAAAGUGCCUUAGAAACUGGUUUCCUUGAGUGUAGAUGAAGGAGGCGGAAUUUGUGGUGUAGCGGUGAAAUGCAUAGAUAUCACGAGGAACUCCGAUUGCGCAGGCAGCUUACUAAACUACUACUGACGCUCAGGCACGAAGGCGUGGGGACCAAACAGGAUUAGAUACCCUGGUAGUCCACGCAGUAAACGAUGAUUACUAGCUGUUUGCGAUACAAUGUAAGCGGCUGAGCGAAAGCGUUAAGUAAUCCACCUGGGGAGUACGUUCGCAAGAAUGAAACUCAAAUGAAUUGACGGGG
rnacentral:rRNA from 1 species